UGCAGCGAGUGAAAGUAGGAGGGUCAGACUCUGGAGGAUUCACACCAGCUCCAGUGUUUUUAACAGAUAGUUUCAUCAGACACUGAACAACUGAAGAAAAUGUUUCACAUGCUUGUUUUGUUCUGUUUGUGCUGGUGGAGACUGAUUGGUGUGUUUGGGGAUUCAGUGUCAGUGAUGGAGGGAGAUUCUGUCACUUCUAUACACUGAUCUUACUGAAAGAGAUGAAGAAGACGACAUAUUGUGGAAAUAUGGAGCUGAAAACUCUCUAAUAGCUAAACUGAAGGAAAAGAAGCAAACCUUCAUCACAUCUGAUGAUCUUGAUGGGAGAUUCAGAGACAGACUGAAGCUGGACGAUCAAACUGGAUCUCUGACCAUCACAAACAUCAGACCUGAACAUGCUGGAGUUUAUCAACUAGAGAUAAAGGGAGUGAAACUGACAGAAAAAACAUUCAGUGUUUGUGUGAAUGAAGCCCAUUGUUGUGAUUCUGUUGAAGCUGUGCUCCGAUUGGUCGUCACUGCUCUGAUGGGCGUGGCCGCUGGGGCUGCUGCUGUUCUUCUGGUCAAUGACGUCAGAUCAACAAGAGGUUAAACGGAGGAAACAGAACAGAUAUUAUAAAUAUUGUGGCAUAUAUUGGAGUUUUAAUCAGAAAAUAUGAAAAAAUAUGUGUGGUAUAAUUGUUCAUUGAUGGCGAAACAAAGCUUUGCUUUCCUCUGAACUGGAUCGUAAAAUCUUCUUUACCUGAAUCUGGUGUAUUGGGGUCAUCUGGUGGCCAAAACAGUUAAUAUUCUGCAAUAUUUCAUUUUAUUCUAAUACCAUCCAUUUUACAUUUCUCUGUUAAUUAUACUGUUUUCAGUUUUGCUUAAUUUAUGUGAUGUUGGCAUUUUCAUUUUGUUUUAUAAUUAUAUGCAGCAACCCUGCAAAUACAAAUGUAAAAAA